rnacentral:piRNA from 1 species
UCCGUAAGAUGGUAGCUUCGACAGAAGU